CGCCAUUCGCCUUCUCAUCGCCUCAAUACCAACCUGGAAUUCUAAAGUCGGGUGUUCGAAAUAAGAACACCCAACGUAAGGUUUUAGAACACACUCCCCAAAUAACUUUAAAGCCAGAAGAAGAAAAAGUUAAGAAAGGAAACCCUCGUGGAAGGCUGUAGUCAGCAUGCCUGGCCUUCAGGAGGAACAGUGUCCCAGUGGGACAGAGCUGUUCGCUUCAAAUUUUAUGAAAGAUGUGCUGUCAGACCUGUCCUCUGGGGAAGACAGAAUGCCCCCAUUGAUAUCUGUCCGAAAUACUGUGGUUUGCAUUCCUUUUCGGCUCAUUCAUGCCUUAAGUGUGUCCAGUGCCAUGGCAAUGACACGGGGCAUGCUUCGGUAGAACGCCUCGCUCUCCAAUCCCACGAGGCUGUAGAAGUGCAUGCCUGCCCCCACAACAUCUGGGGAGAGGACAUCAUCUUCUGCUACUGCUCCUGCCUCGACUUCAGGUGCCCUCAGCCAACAACUGCCUCUACAAGGUUCUCGCCUACCCCCACCUGUAUGUUACGAUGGUCAUCUGGGCAGAUGCUAAGGCUUUCUGACACAGUGCUCUCUCAGGUUCAAGCUCCAGCCCUCUAUAGGGAAAAGACAGCAGCUACAAGGGACUGAACUUUUUGCUGCUUUCGGGGAAGACCCUGACUUGGGCCAUGGCGGUGUGGGAGUGAGAGUACUCAGCUUGCUUGAACAGUUCCCUGCGCGAAAGAGAUUUCUGCAUAAUUGCUCAAGACUUCUGAGAAUUUG